rnacentral:rRNA from 1 species
CCGCAUAAGAUUACAGUACCGCAUGAUACAGUGAUCAAAGGAGCAAUCCGCUGAAAGAUGGGCUCGCGUCCGAUUAGAUAGUUGGUGAGGUAACGGCUCACCAAGUCGACGAUCGGUAGCCGGACUGAGAGGUUGAACGGCCACAUUGGGACUGAGACACGGCCCAGACUCCUACGGGAGGCAGCAGUGGGGAAUAUUGCACAAUGGGCGAAAGCCUGAUGCAGCAACGCCGCGUGAGGGAAGACGGUUUUCGGAUUGUAAACCUCUGUUUUCGGUGACGAAUAAAUGACGGUAACCGAGUAGGAAGCCACGGCUAACUACGUGCCAGCAGCCGCGGUAAUACGUAGGUGGCAAGCGUUAUCCGGAAUUACUGGGUGUAAAGGGAGCGCAGGCGGGAUAGCAAGUCAGUUGUGAAAACUAUGGGCUCAACCCAUAGAUCGCAGUUGAAACUGUUAUUCUUGAGUGGAGUAGAGGCAAGCGGAAUUCCGAGUGUAGCGGUGAAAUGCGUAGAUAUUCGGAGGAACACCAGUGGCGAAGGCGGCUUGCUGGGCUCUAACUGACGCUGAGGCUCGAAAGUGUGGGGAGCAAACAGGAUUAGAUACCCUGGUAGUCCACACUGU